UUACCCCUGCAGUGUUUGUGAUUGUAUGAUGUCCUUUGUCCUAAUGCUACAGAACAGGGUAUCCACCCUGACACCGGUGUGCAAGUUCCACUUGUAUGGAAAAGCCUUAAGGUGUUAUUGGAGACCCGCUUUUUGAACUUUUGGUUCAAAGACUUAAGCAACACGGCAUCAUGUGGGGGUACC
rnacentral:other from 1 species